CCCUAAUAUGUCCUACAGAUGCUGUGAAACCCAUGAUCCCUGCCAAGAGCAGCAGCCAGAGAGCAAAGCCCCACAGGACAGGGAGCAGUGGUGCAGAGGUGAUCUGCUUGGUUCCAGUGAGGCUCCUGACCUGUGGUUCAAUGGCUCUGGACACAAGUGACUCUGAUCCUAGCAACCAGGCCUGGUGCUGGGAGAUGUGAAUUCUGAGCAUGGAGGGACUCGAAAGUCCAUCACAGUUGGGACCCAGCCUCACCUUGGCCAAGCAGAAAACCUUCCUAGCUGUGUGACCUUGGACAGCUUAAGUAAUUUUUCUGAAGUCAAGAUCUUUAUGACACUUAGGUCAGUUUCCCAAGGCUGAAUCCAGGACACUGAGCCACAAGCAAAAUUUGAAUAACUGAUAAUGAUCAGUGAGCUUGCUGUAUGUCCAGGACCAUGCUAAAUGAGACAUGUGUAUACAUGUAUUUGUAUAUGUAACAAGUGUGUAUACAAACAUACACAUAUAUAUUCUAAUUUAGCAAUCUCAAAAAUCCUAACAGGUGGACAUAUUAUCUUUAUCUUAUAGAUAUGGAGAGAGGUUGAGUAACAUCAAACCUAAUUUCUGGAACAAUAGCCAGUGGGGAGCAGAAAUCACACAAUGGCAGCAUAUUCUUCAGGACUGAAGAUAUAGCUCAGUGGCAGAGCACUUGCCUAGCAUGCAGAAGCCCCAAAGUUCAAACACCAGUACCAAAAAAAGAAAAUGUCUUUCACAUCCCAAUUGAUGCCUACCCUAUAUUAAAAUCCCCUGAAAGUGCCGGGGAUUUAGCUCAGUGGUUUCACCACCUACUUCGCAAGCACAAGGACCCAAGUUCUAUCCUCAGUACCAAAAAAAAAAAGGUCAUGCCAAUUAAAGGUGGAACUGAUAUGAAGCAUAAGGGAGUAGAGGCAACCUGCUGAGGAGUGUUGAAUAACCAGAAGACCAGUUAUACCAGUAUUGAAGUGGGAGCAGUAGCUUUAACUAUCAUAAUCUUAUGUGGAUGUAAAGCACCUUGAAAUAAAGUAUGACCAGAGCACUGUUAUUUAUUUUAUCAAUCAUAGUUGUCUUCGAUGUUAAAUUCCUAUAGAAUGUCAACAUAUAAUAAUUAUAAAGUUUUACAGGUAAAAUUUGAGAUCAAGGGCCAGGGAUUUAACUCAGUGGCACUGUGCUUGUCUCGCAAGUGCAAGGUCCUGAGUUCGAUACCUGGUACAAAAGAAAAAAAUUGAGAUCAAGGGC
rnacentral:lncRNA from 1 species